rnacentral:lncRNA from 1 species
GUCCUGCGCAUCUCCUACGGCCUCCAGGACAGAGGAACCGGGGGAGGCAGGGGGAAAAGGCCGGCCCAGCAAUUCCCCUACCCCCCGGUCCCACGUGUACCCUCCUGGCCUGGGUCGCCCCAGCCCACGGGGAGCGGGCGGAGUCCUGGCCCACGAAGCCUUGUCACCUGGCGGGCGAAUCCGCAAGCGGAGACUUGUCUUUAAAGGGCUUUGGGCCGGGCGCGGUGGCUCAUGCCUGGAAUCCCAGCACUUUGGGAGGCCGAGGCGGUGGAUCACGAGGUCAGGAGUUCAAGACCAGCCUGGCCAAGAAGCUCAUACUGACUAAGGCAGCAGAACAUACAGGAGGAAGAGGAGCAGGUUUCACAGAGGGAAGACAUGAGUUCAAUUUUGGACUUCUCAGUAGUCGGUGUCCUCAGUGGUAGCAACUUCAAACGGAAGGUGUCAAAAGUCAAAUUCUGGAGAGUUGAGUAUGAAUGGGAGAUGAAGAAAAGGAGGCAGCACUUGUAGCCUGCUCUUAAUGUAUUUCUGCACUCUACACUAGCAGCCUAUUACACAGGACACUUGGAUGUCU